UACGGAGGAUGCAAGCGUUAUCCGGAAUCAUUGGGCGUAAAGCGUCCGCAGGUGGUUAAUCAAGUCUGCUGUUAAAGACAGAAGCUCAACUUCUGGUCGGCGGUGGAAACUGGUUAACUAGAGUAUGGUAGGGGUUGAGGGAAUUCCCAGUGUAGCGGUGAAAUGCGUAGAUAUUGGGAAGAACACCAGUGGCGAAGGCGCUCAACUGGGCCAUAACUGACACUCAGGGACGAAAGCUAGGGUAGCGAACAGG
rnacentral:rRNA from 1 species